AGAUUGAACGCUGGCGGCAUGCCUUACACAUGCAAGUCGAACGGCAGCACGGGAGCAAUCCUGGUGGCGAGUGGCGAACGGGUGAGUAAUAUAUCGGAACGUGCCCAGUCGUGGGGAUAACGCAGCGAAAGCUGUGACUAAUACCGCAUACGA
rnacentral:rRNA from 1 species